rnacentral:rRNA from 1 species
AACAGGAUUAGAUACCCUGGUAGUCCACGCCGUAAACGAUGAGUGCUAAGUGUUAGGGGGUUUCCGCUCCUUAGUGCUGCAGCUAACGCAUUAAGCACUCCGCCUGGGGAGUACGGCCGCAAGGCUGAAACUCAAAGGAAUUGACGGGGGCCCGCACAAGCGGUGGAGCAUGUGGUUUAAUUCGAGGCAACGCGAAGAACCUUACCAGGUCUUGACAUCCCGCUGACCGCCUUGGAGACAAGGCUUUCCCUUCGGGGACAGCGGUGACAGGUGGUGCAUGGUUGUCGUCAGCUCGUGUCGUGAGAUGUUGGGUUAAGUCCCGCAACGAGCGCAACCCUUGAUCUUAGUUGCCAGCAUUCAGUUGGGCACUCUAAGGUGACUGCCGGUGACAAACCGGAGGAAGGUGGGGAUGACGUCAAAUCAUCAUGCCCCUUAUGACCUGGGCUACACACGUGCUACAAUGGACGGUACAAAGGGCAGCCAACCCGCGAGGGGGAGCCAAUCCCAGAAAACCGUUCUCAGUUCGGAUUGCAGGCUGCAACUCGCCUGCAUGAAGCCGGAAUCGCUAGUAAUCGUGGAUCAGCAUGCCACGGUGAAUACGUUCCCGGGCCUUGUACACACCGCCCGUCACACCACGAGAGUUUGUAACACCCGAAGUCGGUGGGGUAACCCUAGUGGAGCCAGCCGCCGAAGGUGGGACAGAUGAUUGGGGUGAAGUCGUAACAAGGUAACC